rnacentral:rRNA from 1 species
UUGACCUCAAAUCAGGUAGGACUACCCGCUGAACUUAAGCAUAUCAAUAAGCGGAGGAAAAGAAACUAACAAGGAUUCCCCUAGUAACUGCGAGUGAAGCGGGAAAAGCUCAAAUUUAAAAUCUGGCGGUUUCACCGUCCGAGUUGUAAUUUAGAGAAGUGUUAUCCGCG